rnacentral:rRNA from 1 species
UACGUAGGGACCAAGCGUUGUUCGGAUUUACUGGGCGUAAAGGGCGCGUAGGCGGCAAUUCAAGUCAUCUGUGAAAUCUUCGGGCUUAACUCGGAACGGUCAGAUGAUACUGUCUUGCUAGAGUGCAGAAGGGGCAAUCGGAAUUCUUGGUGUAGCGGUGAAAUGCGUAGAUAUCAAGAGGAACACCUGAGGUGAAGACGGGUUGCUGGGCUGACACUGACGCUGAGGCGCGAAAGCCAGGGGAGCAAACGGG